rfam:Triticum aestivum genome assembly, contig: Triticum_aestivum_CS42_TGACv1_scaffold_407142_5BL
AUAGUACUCCCUCCGUCCGAAAAAGCUUGUCCCAAGCAUCUCCCUCAAAUGGAUAUAUCUAGCACUAACUUGGUGCUAGAUACAUCCAUUUGAGGGACAAGCUUUUUCGGACAGAGGGAGUAUGCG